rnacentral:tRNA from 1 species
AAAAUAUUAGUUUAUAGAGAAUAAAUAGUUGUCGUCUAUUAGGAAAAAUUAUUUUUAUAUUUUA